rnacentral:rRNA from 1 species
CAGCCGUUAAGGGAAUACAGAGGGUGCGAGCGUUAAUCGGAUUUACUGGGCGUAAAGCGUGCGUAGGCGGCUAAUUGAGUCGGAUGUGAAAUCCCCGAGCUUAACUUGGGAAUUGCAUUCGAUACUGGUUAGCUAGAGUGUGGGAGAGGAUGGUAGAAUUCCAGGUGUAGAGGUGAAAUGCGUAGAGAUCUGGAGGAAUACCGAUGGCGAAGGCAGCCAUCUGGCCUAACACUGACGCUGAGGUACGAAAGCAUGGGGAGCAAACAGGAUUAGAUACCCGUGUAGUCCCUGUCUCUUAUAC